GCUGUAGCCCAGAUGCUGGAUUUUAUCUCCUCCCAUACCUUCGUCCCCAUCUUGGGCAUUCAUGGGGGCGCAUCUAUGAUCAUGGCUGACAAGGACUUGCUGAGAGCUUUAUCCUGGCAAACCGAAGCUAAACGUGGCCAGCGUGAAAGUGAUCGCAGGAGAAGAC
rnacentral:sRNA from 1 species